rnacentral:sRNA from 1 species
AUUCUGCCCAUGCGGGGAAGGAUGAGAAGCUUCAACCAAGGUUCGACUUGAGCGCCAGCGAGAGAGCGUUGCCGCAGGCAACGACCCGAAGGGCGAAGCGCGCAGCGCUGAGUAAUCCUUCCCCCACC